CUUCCUCAUCUUCUGACACCAUCCAUCUCUUCCAUCUCUUCUUCCUCAUUACCCUGUUCUUCAUCAUUAUCUCCUUCUUCACCUUCUUCUUUAUCCUCUCCUACAGUCCUUGAAUCUUCUGAAAAACUUCGUAGAUCACAGCGACAGACGACACUCCUGCAUACCUUGCAGAUUAUCACUGCUACUUUCUCAAACAUCACAUGCCUCCUAUACCCACCACAACCACACCAUAUCAUCUAUCUUCCUACCUAUCUUAUUCUCAUAUACAACCCACUUACAAAACCUUUCUCUUCUUACCGAAACUAAACCAAAAAUUUAUACUCAAGCUGUUAAGUCUGACAAAUGGAAUGCUGCCAUGAGAUUUGAGUUGGAAGCUCUAACUAAGGUAGAUACUUGGGAGAUUUGUUCUCUACCUGUUGGCAAACAUCCAAUUGGGUGUAAAUGGGUUUUUAAAACCAAAUACAAUGCUAAUGGUAGCAUAGAAAGACACAAAGCCAGAUUGGUCACCAAAAGUUAUACACAAAUUGAAGGCCUCGAUUUCCUUGAUACAUUAAGUCCAGUGGCAAAAAUGACUACUGUAAGAGUUGUGCUUGCUAUAGCUACUGCUCAGAAUUGGUGUUUGUCUCAAUUGGAUAUUUCCAAUGCAUUUCUCAAUGGGGAUUUAAGUGAAGAGUUGUACAUGUCACUGCCUCCUGGAUAUUCUGCUAUUAAGGGGGAGAAAGUUCUUGAGAAAUCUGUUUGUCGCUUAAAGAAGUCGAUUUAUGGCUUGAAACAAGCCUCAAGACAAUGGAAUCUCAAGCUGUCCUCUGUUUUAUUGGCUGAUGGAUUUCGACAGUCUUCAGCAGAUACUUCUGUUUUUAUUAAAUAUGUGGGAUCGACUCUAACUCUUAUGUUGGUAUAUGUUGAUGAUUUGAUAUUGACUGGGAAUGAUACAACCAUGAUUUCACAGACCAAGAAUACUCUACAGGCACAUUUUCAAGUUAAGGAUCUUGGCCCCUUAAGAUACUUCUUGGCACUUUAGCGACAGUCAGUCUGCAAUUCUACUUGCGAACAAUCCGGUACACCAUGAACGUACCAAGCAUAUGGAAUUGGACUGUCACUUCAUUCGAGACCAAAUCAAAUCUGGAUUUUUGAAGAUUCCACAUGUUUCAUAAAGAGAACAGAUACGGGUUCAAGCCAUUCUGACUCGUGGUAACUCCGAGAUUUUGGUUGUUAAAUCUAUGUCUACUUAUCAACUUCUUGUCGAUCUGACAUAGACCCACCUUAAUGCGAUCCCCUUAGAGGACACUGUGGAGCGUGAUGCUGUGCAUAAGGCUUUUAUGUCAUUGUUGAGGCAUGACGCAAAAGGUGAUCUUAAUUGUUCUACAUUUAAUCCGAUGUGUCCGAACAUUACUUAAAUCAUCUUAGGCUUGGGGAGGGCUUCUCGGAGUUUUACAAGGACUUCACUGAGAGAAUUUUUAGGCUUGGGGAAGAUUUCUCAUGGAUUUCGGGAUUUAGUGGGCCUAUUAUGGAUGAAUGGAUUCUGUCAUACUUCUUCUUCGUCGUCAUUGCUAUAACGCAAGGGGAAACGGCCAGCAGGAAAUGGAGCGGGUAAUGUCUCGGCAGCGAAGAAAGGAAGAGGUGGAUCAUCAGGGGGAAUCCAGGAUCAGCUCGUGAAUAAUAAGGCAUUUGAAGGACACAGGGCAGAGGAGGUGGCAGCAGCCGUGGACACGGGGACAGGGACGGGGUCGGGGUCGGGUAAGAGGCUACUAUCUGGUAAUAUAAUAUUUCACAGCUUUGUUUCUUUCACUUAAUCCCCUCUUCUCAGGUGUUGAUCUCUUGUUUCUGUUUAAAGCAAGAACUGCAGUUGGUACGAGGAUUUUUGAUUCUGUAGGGACAAGAACUGCAGUCAGACAUUAUCCAUGGGGUUUGGGUUUGGAUACUCCAAAAGUACCGGAUACCCGAUCCCUGAUUGUCCAACCCUUCCUUAGCUGUCCUUAUCACACCAAGAGUCAAUCCCAAUAAUGACAAAAAAAAACAUUAAAGAAUUUGCCCACUCUUAUUCACAUUUAAA